rnacentral:rRNA from 1 species
GUGGGGAAUAUUGGACAAUGGGCGAAAGCCUGAUCCAGCCAUGCCGCGUGUGUGAAGAAGGUCUUCGGAUUGUAAAGCACUUUAAGUUGGGAGGAAGGGUAGUAACCUAAUACGUUGCUACUUUGACGUUACCGACAGAAUAAGCACCGGCUAACUUCGUGCCAGUAGCCGCGGUAAUACGAAGGGUGCAAGCGUUAAUCGGAAUUACUGGGCGUAAAGCGCGCGUAGGUGGUUCAGUAAGUUGGAAGUGAAAUCCCCGGGCUCAACCUGGGAACUGCUUUCAAAACUGCUGAGCUAGAGUACGGUAGAGGGUGGUGGAAUUGCCUGUGUAGCGGUGAAAUGCGUAGAUAUAGGAAGGAACACCAGUGGCGAAGGCGACCACCUGGACUGAUACUGACACUGAGGUGCGAAAGCGUGGGGAGCAAACAGGAUUAGAUACCCGGGUAGUCC